CUUCAACUAUGUAAAGACUGCGCAGGCAACAUCAAGAGGUUACAUUGUUGAAAAUAAUCGUUUUCUUCUCUCUCAUUGUCCCGCGAAGUGAAAACCGCAGUGAAAAUAUUUCUCAUUACGCUAUUGACGACAUCUUAUCAUCCGAGGCCUUCUUUCCACUCUGGGAUGUGAGACUGCAUUCUGUGACAUCGCAGUGUAUGCAUGGGUACUGCGGUGUCUUCUUCGUGGUUACGCUUAAACAAAUCGACUCACUCGAUCGAACCAUCCAACGUGAUCGCCAAAUCGCCCAGAAAAUAGGUUUACAUUUGAGAGAAGGGAUUUUUCGACAGUAAUAGAUUCUCGGCUGGAACCAACAGACCACCAGAAAUGGCGGAUACGGCCGAAGGAAGUUCCGAGCAGGAUGAUGUGUCAUUCUUACGAACAGUAGAUAUGCUUUGUCUACAAUGUA